rnacentral:ncRNA from 2 species
GAUCUGCAUCAAGAGUUGGGACGACGCCCAACGCCAACCUGCCGAUCCGGGCAAGGUGGUAUUCCCAUGAGGGAAGAUGUGGCCGAUCCGGCAAUUCACGGACCCCAG